AUGAUCUUAAACUGGUUUCGCCCUCGUGUGGUGAUUCAGCUCCACAGACUCAGUGGUUCAGUUGAUAAAGCUUUGUGUUGUAAUCCGGGAGAUCUGAGUUCAAAUCCCACUACUGCUUACUUUAAAUUGAUCUCAGACAACAAAGUCACUCAAACGCUUUUUUUUUUUUUUUUUUUUUUUUUUUUUUUUUUUUUUUUUUUUUUUUUUUUUUUUUUUUUUUUUUUUUUUUUUUUUUUUUUUUUUUUUUUUUUUUUUUUUUUUUUUUUUUUUUUUUUUUUUUUUUUUUUUUUUUUUUUUUUUUUUUUUUUUUUUUUUUUUUUUUUUUUUUUUUUUUUUUUUUUUUUUUUUUUUUUUUUUUUUUUUUUUUUUUUUUUUUUUUUUUUUUUUUUUUUUUUUUUUUUUUUUUUUUUUUUUUUUUUUUUUUUUUUUUUUUUUUUUUUUUUUUUUUUUUUUUUUUUUUUUUUUUUUUUUUUUUUUUUUUUUUUUUUUUUUUUUUUUUUUUUUUUUUUUUUUUUUUUUUUUUUUUUUUUUUUUUUUUUUUUUUUUUUUUUUUUUUUUUUUUUUUUUUUUUUUUUUUUUUUUUUUUUUUUUUUUUUUUUUUUUUUUUUUUUUUUUUUUUUUUUUUUUUUUUUUUUUUUUUUUUUUUUUUUUUUUUUUUUUUUUUUUUUUUUUUUUUUUUUUUUUUUUUUUUUUUUUUUUUUUUUUUUUUUUUUUUUUUUUUUUUUUUUUUUUUUUUUUUUUUUUUUUUUUUUUUUUUUUUUUUUUUUUUUUUUUUUUUUUUUUUUUUUUUUUUUUUUUUUUUUUUUUUUUUUUUUUUUUUUUUUUUUUUUUUUUUUUUUUUUUUUUUUUUUUUUUUUUUUUUUUUUUUUUUUUUUUUUUUUUUUUUUUUUUUUUUUUUUUUUUUUUUUUUUUUUUUUUUUUUUUUUUUUUUUUUUUUUUUUUUUUUUUUUUUUUUUUUUUUUUUUUUUUUUUUUUUUUUUUUUUUUUUUUUUUUUUUUUUUUUUUUUUUUUUUUUUUUUUUUUUUUUUUUUUUUUUUUUUUUUUUUUUUUUUUUUUUUUUUUUUUUUUUUUUUUUUUUUUUUUUUUUUUUUUUUUUUUUUUUUUUUUUUUUUUUUUUUUUUUUUUUUUUUUUUUUUUUUUUUUUUUUUUUUUUUUUUUUUUUUUUUUUUUUUUUUUUUUUUUUUUUUUUUUUUUUUUUUUUUUUUUUUUUUUUUUUUUUUUUUUUUUUUUUGCUUACCAGUUUAUUUUAGUAGAAGAGGACAGAACAAAAUCAUAUACAAACAUUGA
rnacentral:lncRNA from 12 species